GAUGAACGCUGGCGGCGUGCCUAAUACAUGCAAGUCGAGCGAACAGACGAGGAGCUUGCUCCUCUGACGUUAGCGGCGGACGGGUGAGUAACACGUGGAUAACCUACCUAUAAGACUGGGAUAACUUCGGGAAACCGGAGCUAAUACCGGAUAAUAUCUUGAACCGCAUGGUUCAAUAGUGAAAGACGGUCUUGCUGUCACUUAUAGAUGGAUCCGCGCUGCAUUAGCUAGUUGGUAAGGUAACGGCUUACCAAGGCAACGAUGCGUAGCCGACCUGAGAGGGGGAUAGGCGACACUGGAACUGAGACACGGUCCAGGGGCCUACGGGAGGCAGCAGUAGGGAAUCGUCGGCAAUGGGGGGAAGCCUGACGGAGCGGCGCGGCGUGAGUGAUGGAGGUGUUGGGAUCGUAAAACUGUGUUAUUGGGGAAGAACAGAUGUGGAAGUAACUGUGGACAGCGUGACGGUACCUGAUCAGAAAGCCACGGCUAACUACGUG
rnacentral:rRNA from 1 species